rnacentral:rRNA from 1 species
CCUACGGGAGGCAGCAGUGGGGAAUAUUGGGCAAUGGGCGAAAGCCUGACCCAGCGACGCCGCGUGAGGGACGAAGGCCUUCGGGUUGUAAACCUCUUUCAGCAGGGAAGAAGCGAAAGUGACGGUACCUGCAGAAGAAGCACCGGCUAACUACGUGCCAGCAGCCGCGGUAAUACGUAGGGUGCAAGCGUUGUCCGGAAUUAUUGGGCGUAAAGAGCUCGUAGGUGGUUUGCCACGUCGGAUGUGAAAACCUGAGGCUUAACCUCAGGCCUGCAUUCGAUACGGGCAGACUAGAGUGUGGUAGGGGAGACUGGAAUUCCUGGUGUAGCGGUGAAAUGCGCAGAUAUCAGGAGGAACACCGGUGGCGAAGGCGGGUCUCUGGGCCAUAACUGACACUGAGGAGCGAAAGCGUGGGGAGCAAACAGGAUUAGAUACCCUGGUAGUCCACGCCGUAAACGGUGGGCACUAGAUGUGGGGACCUUCCACGGUCUCUGCGUCGCAGCUAACGCAUUAAGUGCCCCGCCUGGGGAGUACGGCCGCAAGGCUAAAACUCAAAGAUAGUACGGCGNGAGAGCGCGACGACGACGACGAGGAGGAGGAG